GCGGGUAUAGUUUAGUGGUAGAAUGCGACCUUCCCAAGGUUGAGAUUCGGGUUCGAUUCCCGGUACCCGCA
rnacentral:tRNA from 1 species